CACACGCUAUCUCCCUCCCAAACCCUAUUUCUCUCCCGGCUUGCUCUCCCUAGCGGCGGCGGCGGCGAAGCUACCGGCGGCGGCGGGGAACGACGAUGGAUGGUUAGUGCAUCCUCUUCCCCAGUCUAUCCUCUCUCGUCCUGUCCUCACUCGUCAUGUCCUCUCUCCUGUCUCAUAGUGAGGAACGGGGAGAAGCGGCGGCGGGGAAUGGGCGGGCUCUCCUCUGUUGUCAUGUCUUCUCUCCUCUCUCCUGUGCGGCGGCGGGCAACGGCGAACACUGCUGUCUGGAACGUGCGCGUUCACCUAUUCAAUCUCGCCGGCUCUCAUGUCUCUGUUCUAACCCCUCUCUAUAUUCACGAGAGAAUAUAGAGAUGUCUCUGGAACUUGGAAGGGGCGUGGGAUGGUGAUAGAGAACUGAGCCGACGACCGUGAAGAAGCCCAGCAGCAACUUCUUCAAGUUUACUGAUUUUCCCACUAAAAAAUCAGAGGUCGUGUGGCGAUGAUGGCCGUCAAGAAGGAGAUACAGACGAUUAAAAAUCCUAGACAAAUCUCAUGUUGGAUAAACAUUUGUUCUAUGCAACGGUUUACCUUGACCGACGAGGUGUACACGCAGCUCUGGCUGCUGGUCGACAACUAGGAAGCGAAGAGGCGGAUGCAGGACGGGAAGAAGAGAACUCAUGCGACGCUGACGGAUAUGAUGCCGAGGAUUGCUCGGAUACCGCACAUGUUAUGCAAGAGGCUCACUCGGACACCGCACAUGUUCUGCAAGAGGCUCACGGCUUCACACACCAGCACGCAUGGGGGCUUCUCCAUGCCGCAGAAGACUGGGUUGCAGCUUGCGGAGGCCAUGAGAAGCUAUUGCUGGCCUUCUGAAAUUGGAACCAAGUUUCUGCAUUUCUAAUGAGGGAGCCCAAGGUGGCAAACUACCUGUUUACGAGAAAGAAUCAAAGGGGCUCAAGUAAAAGAGUGAGGGUGACUAUCUCGUGAACAUGUAAGGAGUAUAUAGCCGUUGUCGUAUUUUUCUUGACCUACUCAUUUCGAAUGUGAUGACAUGGUUUGCUCUACAAAUGGCAUGCCUUAAAGACUUCGCAAGUUUGUAUAACUCUGUCAGUUUUUCCUUCAUGCUUAAAUUUUAUAGUUACCUUAUUCAGUGAUACUUGAUUUGUUUUCAGAUUCAUUUACUUAGAACGUGAGGUGAUUAUUAAUUUUGUAGCUAGCUAUUAGCCUCCACCAUGUUCACAUUAGUUGUCCAGAUAACUUGUAGUUGAUUAACUUAGCUCUGAGCAAUUAGAUUAGGCAAUAUAUUAGGUUUCUUCAUUUGGCUGAUGGGUUUAUGUGCUCUUCCAACUGAAUGGUAAGAUGGAGGAGUACCGUGCAUGCCUAGGUUGUGGGAAACACUUGCCAACAUCCAGAUUGGUUGGUACUCUUGUUCCUAUUCAGUGUUGCGCUGCAACGUUCCCUUUAAGCUAUGUUUGACCACUGAUGCAUUGGUGUGUGCUUGCUUCUUUCUAGAGACGUAGGCGUUCUCUGUGGUGAGGGAAACAACAAGGAGGACACUUUGAUGUUCAGGGUAUACCAGAUUUGCUUUGUUAUGGUGGGGAUGUAAUGCUGCACCAUGCUGAGUACUGCCUUCCUUACAACUUAGAAAAAGAAACGGAGGCAACUAGGGCAUGUUUCUAAAGUGGUUCAGGCAAGCAACAGAUCAAAUAUUUGUUAUCAAGGUAACCUUUUUUUUGGAUGGUUAAUGGCGACUUGUUAAUUGCUAUUUAAAGUACUAGAUUUGUGCGUCGGUUUGUGUGUUUCUCAAAUUUUGUAGUUACAUGGUUAAACGAUUCUCAGUGAUGUAUCCCAUUUAAUGUGAUAACUAAGUUUUCAGGAUCUUUAUUUUUGACACUAAAGUUUUCAGGAUCUUAGUCUAAGCACCUCUGCGAUAUGACCAUAACAUCUGAUGGGUUUUCAGGUCCAUUUGGCUUAUUUUGCUUUGAUAAGGCCUUCCAUUGUUAUUACCUCAAUGGUUAUUGUCAAGCUCUUAUUUUUGUUUAUAUCAGUUUCUUUAGUUAGUAACUUAGUAUGUUUGUAUACAUAUAUAUAAAUAUGCCGAUAAGUUGCAGAACUUCCAAAAGCAGUUUUAGUCCACGCCUUGAUGGUAAAGUAUCGAUAUCGACUUGUGUAGUUUAUGUUGGGUUCAUAACUCAGGUGUACAAACCUGCUCUUGGCCAUAGAUUUCAUGAACUUUUUUUCUGUAGAUUUCGCUUAAUCAAAAUUAAUCCCAUUGUCCUGGAUUUCAUUUUUUGUUUCUUGU